rnacentral:rRNA from 1 species
GGAGUUAUGAAAUGUAGAUAGGUUAAUACCCUGUUUAUUUGACAAAAGCCCCAAAGGAAGCCACGGCUAACUCUGUGCCAGCAGCCGCGGUAAUACAGAGGUGGCAAGCGUUAUUCGGUAUUAUUGGGCGUAAAGAGCACGUAGGUGGUUUUGUAAGUCAGAUGUGAAAGCCUUCUGUUCAAAGGAAGAACGGCAUCUGAAACUGCAAAUCUUGAGUGUAGGAGGGGAGAGUG